AAAACGACAAACCCUGGUUUCCGUGUCCAAUAUUUAACCGUUCGUCUUAUUUAAAAAAAAUAUAAAAAAAAUUAAAAAGACAAAUCACGCGUAAAAUAUUAAUCAUAUUUUAUCAUCUAACAAUAAUGAAAAUACGAAUUAUAAAAAAAAUUUAUAAAAACGGACAGUCAAAGUUGGACACGAAAAUUCAGGGUUUGUAUUUUU
rfam:Oryza glumipatula chromosome 1, whole genome shotgun sequence.